CACGUAGGGGGCGAGCGUUGUCCGGAUUUAUUGGGCGUAAAGAGCUCGUAGGCGGCUCGGUAAGUGAGGUGUGAAAAACUCCAGGCUCAACCUGGAGACGCCACCUCAUACUGCUGUGGCUAGAGUCCGGUAGGGGAGCAUGGAAUUCCUGGUGUAGCGGUGAAAUGCGCAGAUAUCAGGAGGAACACCAGUGGCGAAGGCGGUGCUCUGGGCCGGAACUGACGCUGAGGAGCGAAAGCGUGGGGAGCAAACAGG
rnacentral:rRNA from 1 species